rnacentral:rRNA from 1 species
CUACGGGAUGCUCCAGUGAGGAAUAUUGCACAAUGGGGGGGAACCCUGAUGCAGCAACGCCGCGUGGAGGAUGACGCAUUUCGGUGUGUAAACUCCUUUUAUAUGUCAAGAAAAUGACGGUAGCAUAUGAAUAAGCACCGGCUAACUCCGUGCCAGCAGCCGCGGUAAUACGGAGGGUGCAAGCGUUACUCGGAAUCACUGGGCGUAAAGGACGCGUAGGCGGGUUGGAAAGUCAGGUGUGAAAUCCAACAGCUUAACUGUAGAACUGCACUUGAAACUUCUAAUCUAGAGUAUGGGAGGGGGAGAUGGAAUUAGUGGUGUAGGGGUAAAAUCCGUAGAUAUCACUAGGAAUACCUAAAGCGAAGGCGAUCUCCUGGAACAUUACUGACGCUAAGGCGUGAAAGCGUGGGGAGCAAACAGGAUUAGAUACCCGGGUAGUC